GCUGAACAGUAAUCAUUCAACAAAUCUAAGACCUCCUCCCAAGAGGAGAAACAUUCCUAGGUACCAUUCAAGCCAUCCUGGUAAAUCCAGUGGAAGCUGUUGCCUAAAAUGUCUGUGUUGUUGCUUUUUAUUCUGGUUUGCGUUGAUCAUCCUUCUUGGUGGCGCUGCUUUUUAUCUUUACUCUAUGUUGCAGCCUGAAAUCCCUCGCUAUAACGUUGAUCGUUUCGAUGUCAAUGCCUUCAAUGUUCAGCAAGAUUUUAGUCUCCA
rnacentral:misc_RNA from 1 species